UAGUGGUACUAGGAGUUUAUAUGGUAUGGUUGGAAUUUUGAGUUAGGCAGGUUAUUUAUAAAUGACAAUUUUACCUCUAAUCUUUUAAAGAUUCCUUAAGGUGGAAGUAAGGGUAAUAUAGUCUUUUCUAUCUAAGUUAAUCUAUAGAAACUUUGUUUUUUAGUGAAUUUCUAGAGAUUUAAGUUGGGGUGAGUUUACUUAGGAUAAGGAUGAUAUUGAGGGUAAAUUUAAAACAUAAGUAAAAGACCCUCUCUACUAGUUUAUCUCUCCUCGACUUAGAACCACCACCCAAGAAGAAGAAUUUUCACAGCUAAUUCAUUUGUUUUCCUCUUGGAUUUAAGUAGGAUUCAAGUGGAAUUGAAGUCAGAUUAAGUUCUGAUCAGGGACAUCAAUGCUGAAAAGAAAGUUAGUGUAAAGAAGAUUGGAACAAAAGAGAACCCUGCAGAUAUGAUGACAAAAUAUGUGAGUUUAGCCAAGUUUAGGCUUUGCCUAGAUUUGCUAAACAUCAUCAAUUGCUAAAUGAGGAUGCAAGACCAUUUCAGCCUCAAUCAUCAUCCCUUUCCUCUCUUAAUGAUCAAGGUGGAUAAUUGUUGUGAUUGGUCACUAAUAGAGGAAAUAGACAUCUUUUACUCAACCACCUAUAACCACCAACGGAUCGGGUUAUAUCAUCAAGGCUAUAAAUAGCCAUUUGCUGCAUCAUUACAGUAGCAAUCUUAGGAGAAUUUUUCAGGAGUUUUUGAGAGCUAGUUUAGUGUGCAAGAGAAAGAGAGUUUUGAGUGAAGUUGAUUGUAAUUGAAUCUAUGCUUCUUGAGUGAUUGUGUCAAGAACACAUUGAUUAUCAAUAUUGUAAUUCUCUCUUCUAGCUCAAUAAAGAUUCAAGCCUUUGGGGCUGUUCUGGCCGAGGAGUAGGCAAGUGAUUCAUCAUCACUUGUUCGAAUCUCGUAAUCUGGUUGUGUUUGAUUCUUUCUCCCUAUAUUCUUGUCUAUAAUUGCUCAUUGAUCAUUGUUCA